GGGUUCAUCUUCAUGAGGUGUAAUGGCGCCGGGAUGCGCUCUCCUCUUCUCAUUUGCCAAUUUAUUGCAGAUCCCUCCUCAAAAAAGUUUUGGGACUAACUCAGCCCCAUGGAGAUCAAGGUGAAUUAGAAAAACAACAAAACAAAACAAGAUUCAUUUUAACAUCUCAUUUUUCUAUCUCCAACUUUCCCUCCCCUCCUCCCACCCCAGGAAGAAAAGACUACGUUUGUUUCUGGUGAUACAUUCAUUGUAGGUGGGUGGGUGACUUCUAGAAGAGGAAAAUCAAGAAGAUUUGGAGAAGGAGUCUUGGAAGCUCUGGUGAAGUUUUCCAAAACUGGGAAGGACAGAGCCACAGGUCUGCCUGUUCUUUUGCUUUGCCAUUUGUGUGGAUACCUAGUAGAGCAAUUUGGGUGCCAUUCUUUGAGGAAUCCAUUGGAUCUGUCAGAAAGCUGAGUCUGCUCAGCCUGUGUUAGUGGAGAAGAGGGAAGGAAACUGGCUGGAGGCCGCUGGACCCACAGAGGACAAUAGACAAUCUCCUGCUCUAAGAAGGAAUCAGUGGCCUUAAGAAGACAAUCUUGAAAAAGGACCUAAGUGAUGGAUGCCCACUGGAUCCAAAGAGAGAAACUCUAUAGAAUUAUGAUCUAGGUUUGACUGACUCCUGGCAAGAAGCCCUACCCGCCAGCCAAUUUGGAUGAGCUCUUAUGCUCCAGAUCCAUCAUGAGAAGAACAUGCCCUGGAUUCCUGCUAUCCCUUUAGCCAUGGCUCCAAAAUUAACACACACAAGGAAGACCUGAGGUCAAUCCACAGCCUGGAUUCAAGUCACCUAAUACAUAGGAGAAUCAGAGCUACCCAGCCACACUCAAUCUACGUUAACUGAACCUCAGCUGACCUGCAGAUUUAUGAGUAUGAGAAUAAAGGCUUGUUAAUGU
rnacentral:lncRNA from 1 species